AAUGAACGUUGGCGGCAUGGAUUAGGCAUGCAAGUCGAGCGCGAUAGGUUUGGUGCUUGCAUUAAACCUUGAAAGCGGCGAAAGGGAGAGUAACGCGUAGGAUAUCUGCCCCCGGGACUGGGAUAGCGGUGGGAAACUGCCGGUAAUACCAGAUAAUGUCUCCGGACCAAAGGUGUGAUUCCGCCUGGGGAUGAUCCUGCGUCCUAUUAGCUAGUUGGUAGGGUAAUGGCCUACCAAGGCUUUGAUGGGUAGCGGGCGUGAGAGCGUGGCCCGUCUCACUGGGACUGAGAUACUGCCCAGACACCUACGGGUGGCUGCAGUCGAGAAUCUUCCGCAAUGGGCGAAAGCCUGACGGAGCGAUGCCGCGUGCGGGAUGAAGGCC
rnacentral:rRNA from 1 species